rnacentral:rRNA from 1 species
GGCGUGCUUUANACAUGCNAGUCGAGAAACCUCNGGGUUCGAGUGGCGAACGGGUGAGUAACACGUGGGUAUCUCCCUGCACUUUCGGGAUAAGCCUGGGAAACUGGGUCUAAUACCGAAUAUGACUGCAUCUUCAUGGCUUUUGCGGUGUGGGAUGGGCCCGCGGCCUAUCAGCUUGUUGGUGGGGUAAUGGCCUACCAAGGCGACGACGGGUAGCCGGCCUGAGAGGGUGACCGGCCACACUGGGACUGAGAUACGGCCCAGANUNCUACGGGAGGCAGCAGUGGGGAAUAUUGCACAAUGGCGCAAGCCUGANGCNNGACGCCGCGUGAGGGAUGACGGGCUCGGGUUGUAAACCUCUUUCAGCACAGACGAAG